GAUGAAGAACGUAGCGAAAUGCGAUAAGUAGUGUGAAUUGCAGAAUUCAGUGAAUCAUCGAAUCUUUGAACGCACAUUGCGCCCCUUGGUAUUCCAUGGGGCAUGCCUGUUCGAGCGUCAUUUUUACCUUCAAGCUCUGCUUGGUGUUGGGUGAUUGUCUAUCUUUGUAGACUCGCCUUAAAGUCAUUGGCAGCCGGCAUAUUGGCCUGGGAGCGCAGCACAAGUCGCGCUUCUUGUCAUGAAUGUUGGCGUCCAGUAAGUCUACAUAUUUUGCUCUUGACCUCGGAUCAGGUAGGGAUACCCGCUGAACUUAAGCAUAUCAAUAAGCGGAGGA
rnacentral:misc_RNA from 1 species